rnacentral:rRNA from 1 species
UACGUAGGGUGCGAGCGUUAAUCGGAAUUACUGGGCGUAAAGCGUGCGCAGGCGGUUUGCUAAGACCGAUGUGAAAUCCCCGGGCUUAACCUGGGAACUGCAUUGGUGACUGGCAGGCUAGAGUAUGGCAGAGGGGGAUAGAAUUCCACGUGUAGCAGUGAAAUGCGUAGAGAUGUGGAGGAAUACCGAUGGCGAAGGCAGCCCCCUGGGCCAAUACUGACGCUCAUGCACGAAAGCGUGGGGAGCAAACAGG